rnacentral:rRNA from 1 species
AUACGGAGGGUGCAAGCGUUAUUCGGAAUCACUGGGCGUAAAGGACGCGUAGGCGGGUUGGCAAGUCAGAUGAGAAAUCCUACAGCUUAACUGUAGAACUGCAUUUGAAACUGCUAACCUAGAGUAUGGGAGGGGGAGAUGGAAUUAGUGGUGUAGGGGUAAAAUCCGUAGAUAUCACUAGGAAUACCGAAAGCGAAGGCGAUCUCCUGGAACAUAACUGACGCUAAGGCGUGAAAGCGUGGGGAGCAAACAGGAUUAGAUACCCCAGUAGUCC